UCUAUGGGUGACUGCUUAUAUUUUCACCUUCUUGCUUUUCAUAAGGAAAUUGCAGAAUCCUUGGUUUUAGCUUUUUGUUUAUGUUGAGUUAUCGGAAUAUGCAGAUACAGCAUAAGGAAAGUUGGUGAAGUACACAUAAAACCAACGAGAAAUAAAUGUGUAUAUUUGGGUCAUACACAGGACCAGUUGUUUCCUUGUAUAUUUCACUCAUUACAUGAAGUCACCGGAUUAAAGUUUUUGUCAUUCUAAAUUGAAACGAAGGUUAGCAAACGUUGUUUUGAAGGUAUAGUAUCUAUUGGCUGACACUGCUUAUAUUUCUGCUAUCCUGCUCUUGAUAAGAUAAUUUGCAGAAUCCUUAGUUUUAGCUACUUAUUUGUGUUGUGGUUCUUGGAAAUGCAGAUGCAACACGAGGAAAUUUGGUGAACUCCACCUAAGACCAUCAAGUACUAAAUGUGUAAAUUUGGCUGGAAUUAUUUUCAAACCAGUGGUCAAGAGGAAGAAUUAAACUGGCCGAGCCUCUUCAAGACACAGUUCACAAGAGGUUGGAAAACUCAAACUGCUAUCUUAGUCAUGACAUAGCAGAUGAUCUCGGCAGUAAAUAAUAACUAGUAUUUACAUUGCACUCAAAUCUUUCUUUGCUCUUCUUAAGCGACGACAAUGAAGGGAAGAGAAAAGGAGAAGAAAGCUAGCAUCGCCCAAAAGAAAAAAAGCUAAGACGAGGAGAACUGGAAGUUGGACCUGAUGUUUGAAUGACUACAGGUGAAGAGUGGUGUCCACAUCUGGUUCGUUGCCAGACACCGGGCGGUGUGAAGUCGUCUGAUUGGGCCACAAGCCCAUUGACAGUGAGAUCUCGAGGGCCUGCAAGUCUGUGUGAUCACCAUGGUCGUCGAGCCAACACGAUGGUGGAGGACCACGGAUAGGCCUGGAUGGACGAACUAGAUCGGGAUGGACGAACCACACGGGUUGGGCACACUGAGCAUUCGAGUUUGGCCUCUCCCCAUGAGAGAAUGCCCGCUGCUGUUCCCUUUCUUCUCUCAUUUCUUUGAGUCUCUGCAGCUGUCUGAAUCUCUCCUGCAACAGAGCAAUGGAGGUCGGCUUGUUGUUCUGCCUCCCCAUGAGUCGGUAGUGGACUCGGAAUGCCAAUUCGGAGCAGGUGGAGCUGAGGGAGGCUGAGGUCUACAGGGGAGAGGAGAAUCCAGAGAGGGGAUGCAAAGUCCAAGAAGGAAAGGGUUUGUGGGCUAUCUAAGGAGUUAGGAUGGUGGAGGACGCGAGCAGGACCAGAGCCACUUUUCAAAGGCACAUAAAAGCGGGAGAGCAGUCCAAGGAUGCAUGGAGGUUAGCAUUUGGAUGCGAGCUUGCAGAGAAUAUAAGGUUAUCGUGAUGGAUUGUCCUCCUAUCAUACCUUUUUUUUUCUUCUUUCUUGAGCCUAAGAAAGAGAGAUUCCAACUCUUGUAUGGUUUGCCCUCCUCCUCCUCCUCCUCCUCUCAGCAGAUCAAUGUGGCUGCUGGACCCAGGAUCCAGAAUUGAAGUCAGUCGAAGCCAUGAAUAAAGGACUGGACCCUGGUUGAAAAGCUAGCACAACGUUGCUGUUGUGCAUCAGGUUCUUUGUAGUGCAUGCUUAGUCCUGGGAAUCUGAACCCAUAGCAGAUCCAAUGAGAAAAAGAAAAGUUCCAACUGAUGCCAUGAAAGGUAAUUUUAUGAGUGCCAGAUGAACCGGGGCCACGAUCGGCUGCACACAUAUGGUUGUUGUUCUCCUCUGCCCGAUUCCUCCAUUUCGAGUUCAUCCCAGGGUUCAUGCGGAUGGUGCCACUACUUGCUGCAAGCUCAAACUUGCAGCUGCAGGAGGAGGGUGUUUUGAAUUUGGUAAUGAUAUGGAAAUCAAUCAGCAUCACCAGGCCUGCUCUGCUCUGCACUGCAUGCACUGCACUGCGGGAGGGUUUCUUCAUGCAUCUCCGUGACUGCUAAUCCAUUCAAUGUAUAUCACCAAAUCAAUACUCUGGUUUGUUGUUUUCAAUGAAUUUGAGUUGCUAGA